rnacentral:rRNA from 1 species
AUAAUACUCCAUAGAUUAGAGACACUGGAAUGUUCUUUAGUCGAAAGUUCUGGCGCCUUAGGAUGGAUCUGCGGUCGAUUAGGUUGUUGUUGGGGUAACGGCCCAGCAAGCCUGUAAUCGAUACGGGUUGUGGGAGCAAGAGCCCGGAGAUGGAAUCUGAGACACGAUUCCAGGCCCUACGGGGCGCAGCAGGCGCGAAAACUUUACAAUGCAGGAAACUGUGAUAAGGGAACUCCGAGUGCCCGUAUACGCGGGCUGUCCAGGUGUUUAAAAAUCAUCUGAAGAAAGGGCCGGGCAAGACCGGUGCCAGCCGCCGCGGUAAUACCGGCGGCUCGAGUGGUGGCCACUAUUAUUGGGCUUAAAGCGUCCGUAGCUGGACCGAUAAGUCUCUUGGGAAAUCCGCCGGCUCAACCGGCGGGCGUCUAAGGGAUACUGUUAGUCUAGGGACCGGGAGAGGUGAGAGGUACUCCGGGGGUAGGAGUGAAAUCCUGUAAUCCCCGGGGGACCACCGAUGGCGAAGGCAUCUCACCAGAACGGCUCCGACAGUGAGGGACGAAAGCUGGGGGAGCGGACCGGAUUAGAUACCCGGGUAGUCCCAGCCGUAAACUAUGCGCGUUAGGUGU